rfam:Felis catus isolate Cinnamon breed Abyssinian chromosome B2, whole genome shotgun sequence.
GCUCAGUUGGUUAAGUGUCCAACUCCUGAUCUCAGCUCAGGUCUUGAUCUCAGGGUUGUGAGUUCAAGCCCCACAUUGGGCU